rnacentral:miRNA from 1 species
CGAAGAGAGAGAGCACAGUCC